rnacentral:SRP_RNA from 1 species
GCUAGGUAUGGUGAUGCAUGCCUAUAAUCCCUGCUCCUGAGGGAGACAAAAGCUGGUGGAUCACUUGAAUUCUGGAAUUCUGAGUUGCAAUAAGCUGAAGCCAAUUGGGUUUCUGUACUACGUCUAGCACCAAAAUGGUGACCUCCAAGAGUAGAAGUAGGGGAGGAACCAUUAGCCUGCUUAAGAAGGGGCAAACCAGCCCAAGUUGGAAAUGGAGCAAGUCAAAGCUUCCAUACCAAUUAAUAGUAGGAUUGGGCUAUGAGGGGCUACUGUACCUUCCAGCCUGAGUGAGAUAAAGAGACCUAGUCUCAA